rnacentral:tRNA from 4 species
GCGGGAGUGGCGGAAUUGGUAGACGCGCUGGAUUUAGGUUCCAGUAUCUUCGGAUGUGUGAGUUCAAGUCUCACCUUCCGCACCA